UACGGGGGGGGCAAGCGUUGUUCGGAAUUACUGGGCGUAAAGGGCUCGUAGGCGGCCAACUAAGUCGGACGUGAAAUCCCCAGGCUCAACCUGGGAACUGCGUCCGAUACUGGAUGGCUUGAAUCCGGGAGAGGGAUGCAGAAUUCCAGGUGUAGCGGUGAAAUGCGUAGAUAUCUGGAGGAAUACCGGUGGCGAAGGCGCUCUGCUAGGCCGCAACUGACACUGAGGGACGAAAGCUAGGGGAGCGAAUGGG
rnacentral:rRNA from 1 species